rnacentral:rRNA from 1 species
CACGUAGGGCGCAAGCGUUGUCCGGAAUUAUUGGGCGUAAAGAGCUCGUAGGCGGUCUGUUGCGUCUGCUGUGAAAACUCGGGGCUUAACCCCGAGCCUGCAGUGGAUACGGGCAGACUAGAGGUAGGUAGGGGAGAAUGGAAUUCCCGGUGUAGCGGUGAAAUGCGCAGAUAUCAGGAGGAACACCGAUGGCGAAGGCAGGUCUCUGGGCCGCAACUGACGCUGAGGAGCGAAAGCAUGGGGAGCGAACAGG